ACUCCUACGGGAGGCAGCAGUGGGGAAUAUUGGACAAUGGGGGCAACCCUGAUCCAGCCAUGCCGCGUGUGUGAAGAAGGCUUUCGGGUUGUAAAGCACUUUCAGUGAGGAGGAAAACCUUAUGGCUAAUAUCCAUGAGGCUUGACGUUACNCACAGAAGAAGCACCGGCUAACUCC
rnacentral:rRNA from 1 species